GACGAACGCUGGCGGCGUGCUUAACACAUGCAAGUCGAACGGAGUGGCGAACGGUUGAGUAACACGUGGGUGAUCUGCCUUGAACUUAGGGAUAAGCUUGGGAAACUGGGUCUAAUACCGGAUAGUGCAAGAUGAGUGCGCGGCCUAUCAGCUUGUUGGGGGGGUAAUGACUUACCAAGGCGUCGACGGGUAGCCGGCCUGGGAGGGUGUACGGCCUCAUUGGGACUUAGAUACGGCCCAGACUCCUACGGGGGGCAGCAGUGGGGAAUAGUGCACAAUGGGCGGAAGCAUGAUGCAGCGUCGCCGCGUGGGGGAUGAAGGCCUUCGGGGUGUAAACUCCUUUCGACAGGGACGCGGUACCUAUCUAAGAAGCACCGGCUAACUACGUGCCAGCCGCCGCGGUAAUAC
rnacentral:rRNA from 1 species